rnacentral:rRNA from 1 species
AUUGAACGCUGGCGGCAGGCCUAACACAUGCAAGUCGAGCGAGCGGCGGACGGGUGAGUAAUGUAUGGGGACUGCCCGAUAGAGGGGGAUAACUACUGGAAACGGUGGCUAAUACCGCAUACUAUCGGAUAACCCAUAUGGGAUUAGCUAGUGGGUGGGGUAAAGGCUCACCUAGGCGACGAUCUCUAGCUGGUCUGAGAGGAUGAUGAGCCACACUGGGACGAGGACACAGCCCAACCUCCUACGGAGGCGUCAGUGGGGAAUAUUGCACAAUGGGGGAAAGCUGGAUGCAGCCCGGCCGCGUGUAUGAAGAGGGCCUUAGGGUUGUAAAGUACUUUCAGCGGGGAGGCGUUACCCGAAGAAGAAGCACCGGCUAACUCCGUGCCAGCAGCCGCGGUAAUAC